GUGAUUGUAGCUCAAUUGGAAAGAGCUUUGGAUUGUGAUUCCAAAGGUUAUGGGUUCAAGUCCCAUCAAUCACC
rnacentral:tRNA from 1 species